rnacentral:rRNA from 1 species
UGGGGAAUAUUGCACAAUGGGGGAAACCCUGAUGCAGCGACGCCGCGUGAACGAAGAAGGUAUUCGUAUCGUAAAGUUCUGUCCUAUGGGAAGAUAAUGACAGUACCAUAGAAGAAAGCUCCGGCUAAAUACGUGCCAGCAGCCGCGGUAAUACGUAUGGAGCGAGCGUUGUCCGGAAUUAUUGGGCGUAAAGGGUACGCAGGCGGUUUAAUAAGUCGAAUGUUAAAGAUCGGGGCUCAACCCCGCAAAGCAUUGGAAACUGAUAAACUUGAGUAGUGGAGAGGAAAGUGGAAUUCCUAGUGUAGUGGUGAAAUACGUAGAUAUUAGGAGGAAUACCAGUAGCGAAGGCGACUUUCUGGACACAACUGACGCUGAGGUACGAAAGCGUGGGGAGCAAACAGG